rnacentral:tRNA from 1 species
AAAAUUAUAGUAUAAGGUGCAGUAUGUCUCGUUGUCGAUGAGAGGGUUGAUUAAUUUUG